CUAUUUGCAUAAUUUGGGUGAGUUCGUAUCAAUUUCUCUGAAUCUGUUUUAACUUCUGUGAAAUGGCAAGUUUGGUCUAUCUGGUCCCCAAAGUACUUUUCGGCUUAACAACAGUGAGAGAAGUUCUGGUGUAUGCUGAGGUGCUGAUAUGGAAGAACACUCAGCCUGCUCUUCAAAGAGCAGAGUCUGGAGGUAUUUAAACGGUCAGAGGCCAAGAAGGAAAGAGUGCAGACGGCUGUAGGAUUUUUCAAUGAGAGAAAAAUCUCAUUGAAAUCCUAUGUAUUCAGAGAAAUAUAUCAUGUUAAUUGUAAUCUGUCCUUCAUAAAUUUCAAAGAAAGCACAAAUUGUAGAUGAUUAAUCUCUACAUAACCUAUCUGACCCUACCACUUUAAAGAUAUUAAAGAGAGGCCAGGUGUGGUGGAUCAAGCCUGUAAUCCAAAUGCUUUGGGAAGACAAGGUGGGAGGAUCACUUGAGGCCAGGAGUUUGAGAGCAGCCUGGGCAACACAGCAAGACGUCAUCUCUUCGAAAAGUAAGAAAUAAAAAAAAUUAUCCGGGGGUGGUGGUGCAUGCCUGUAGUUCCAGCUACUUGGGAGACUGAGGUGAGAGGAUCACUUGAGCCCCAGGAGUUCAAGAUUGCAGUGAGCAGUGAUUGU
rnacentral:lncRNA from 10 species